rnacentral:rRNA from 1 species
AGAGUUUGAUCAUGGCUCAGGAUGAACGCUAGCGACAGGCUUAACACAUGCAAGUCGAGGGGGCAUCGAUGAGGUAGCAAUACCUUGAUGGCGACCGGCGCACGGGUGAGUAACGCGUAUGCAACCUGCCGUGAUACCGGGGUAUAGCCAUGGAAACGUGGACUUAACACCCCAUAGUACUUUUAUCCUGCAUUGGGGAUAGUGAGUUAAAUG